AGUCUUUAUGGUCACGGGACGCACGUAAUUGCCACGUCACGUGAUUUAGCACAAACUUCAGAUACCGGUCACGUGAAGUGCUUCCCCGGUCAUGACUGGGUAAGGGAACACAAGUUCUGGUUCUUUCACAGACCGUCUACUCCACUCUAGCAGGACUGGAGACAGGCUCCACAGCAGCAACAACAUGAUGGUGAGGCACUUGUACUUUUUGAAGAAUAAGGAUUUUUUUCCCUUUGGUUACAUUAAUCAAUUUAUAUGGUUAAUUAAUCAAUUAUGAAUAGAUAAUAUUUAUGAAGUUCUGCAUAUGAAUUUGUUGGUAAGACUACAAAAUAAUUAUUUAGCUUAAUGGUUAUGUAUUAGCUUGGUAUGUUUGGAAAUAAAAUGACAAUGCUGAUGAAUAAAUGCUAUAAAUAUG
ensembl:lncRNA